rnacentral:tRNA from 1 species
GCCCCCGUAUCUUAACGGAUAAAGUCCUGGUCUUCGAAACCAGUUAUGGGGGUCCGAUUCCCUCCGGGGGCA